rnacentral:tRNA from 1 species
CGGGAUGUAGUUCAGUGGCAGAGCACUUGCCUAGGAUGUAUGAGGCCUUGGGUUUGAUCCCUAGCAUCCCCC